rnacentral:rRNA from 1 species
CAACCUGCCCCACCACUUGGGGAUAACCUUGCGAAAGUAAGACUAAUACCCAAUGAUCUCUCUAGAAGACAUCUGAAAGAGAUUAAAGAUUUAUCGGUGAUGGAUGGGGAUGCGUCUGAUUAGCUUGUUGGCGGGGUAACGGCCCACCAAGGCAACGAUCAGUAGGGGUUCUGAGAGGAAGGUCCCCCACAUUGGAACUGAGACACGGUCCAAACUCCUACGGGAGGCAGCAGUGAGGAAUAUUGGUCAAUGGACGAGAGUCUGAACCAGCCAAGUAGCGUGCAGGAUGACGGCCCUAUGGGUUGUAAACUGCUUUUAUAAGGGAAUAAAGUGAGUCUCGUGAGACUUUUUGCAUGUACCUUAUGAAUAAGGACCGGCUAAUUCCGUGCCAGCAGCCGCGGUAAUACGGAAGGUCCGGGCGUUAUCCGGAUUUAUUGGGUUUAAAGGGAGCGUAGGCCGGAGAUUAAGCGUGUUGUGAAAUGUAGACGCUCAACGUCUGCACUGCAGCGCGAACUGGUUUCCUUGAGUACGCACAAAGUGGGCGGAAUUCGUGGUGUAGCGGUGAAAUGCUUAGAUAUCACGAAGAACUCCGAUUGCGAAGGCAGCUCACUGGAGCGCAACUGACGCUGAAGCUCGAAAGUGCGGGUAUCGAACAGGAUUAGAUACCCUGGUAGUCCGCACGGUAAACGAUGGAUGCCCGCUGU